rnacentral:rRNA from 1 species
GUCCACGCCCUAAACGUUGAUUACUCGCUGUUGGCGAUACACUGUCAGCGGCUAAGCGAAAGCGUUAAGUAAUCCACCUGGGGAAGUACGUCCGCAAGGAUGAAACUCAAAAGGAAUUGGACGGGGGGCCCCGCACAAGCGGAGGAGCAUGUGGUUUAAUUCGAUGAUACGCGAGGAACCUUACCUGGGCUUAAAUGUCAAGUGACCGCCGCCGAAAGGUGGCUUCCCUUCGGGGCAAUUGGCAAGGUGCUGCAUGGCUGUCGU